UACGAAGGGGGCUAGCGUUGCUCGGAAUUACUGGGCGUAAAGGGAGCGUAGGCGGAUAGUUUAGUCAGAGGUGAAAGCCCAGGGCUCAACCUUGGAAUUGCCUUUGAUACUGGCUAUCUUGAGUACGGAAGAGGUAUGUGGAACUCCGAGUGUAGAGGUGAAAUUCGUAGAUAUUCGGAAGAACACCAGUGGCGAAGGCGACAUACUGGUCCGUUACUGACGCUGAGGCUCGAAAGCGUGGGGGAGCA
rnacentral:rRNA from 1 species